rnacentral:rRNA from 1 species
AGCGAACGCUGGCGGUAGGCCUAACACAUGCCAGUCGAACGGCAGCACAGUAAGAGCUUGCUCUUGCGGGUGGCGAGUGGCGGACGGGUGAGGAAUACAUCGGAAUCUACUUUUUCGUGGGGGAUAACGUAGGGAAACUUACGCUAAUACCGCAUACGACCUACGGGUGAAAGCAGGGGAUCUUCGGACCUUGCGCGAUUGAAUGAGCCGAUGUCGGAUUAGCUAGUUGGCGGGGUAAAGGCCCACCAAGGCGACGAUCCGUAGCUGGUCUGAGAGGAUGAUCAGCCACACUGGAACUGAGACACGGUCCAGACUCCUACGGGAGGCAGCAGUGGGGAAUAUUGGACAAUGGGCGCAAGCCUGAUCCAGCCAUACCGCGUGGGUGAAGAAGGCCUUCGGGUUGUAAAGCCCUUUUGUUGGGAAAGAAAAGCAGCAGGUUAAUACCCCGCUGUUCUGACGGUACCCAAAGAAUAAGCACCGGCUAACUUCGUG